GAUGAACGCUGGCGGCGUGCCUAAUACAUGCAAGUCGAGCGAACAGAUGAGGAGCUUGCUCCUCUGACGUUAGCGGCGGACGGGUGAGUAACACGUGGAUAACCUACCUAUAAGACUGGGAUAACUUCGGGAAACCGGAGCUAAUACCGGAUAAUAUAUUGAACCGCAUGGUUCAAUAGUGAAAGACGGUUUUGCUGUCACUUAUAGAUGGAUCCGCGCCGCAUUAGCUAGUUGGUAAGGUAAUGGCUUACCAAGGCAACGAUGCGUAGCCGUCCUGAGAGGGUGAUCGGCCACACUGGAACUGAGACACGGUCCAGACUCCUACGGGAGGCAGCAGUAGGGAAUCUUCCGCAAUGGGCGAAAGCUUGACGGAGCAACGCCGCGUGAGUGAUGAAGGUCUUCGGAUCGUAAAACUCUGUUAUUAGGGAAGAACAAAUGUGUAAGUAACUAUGCACGUCUUGACGGUACCUAAUCAGAAAGCCACGGCUAACUACGUG
rnacentral:rRNA from 1 species